UACAGAGGGUGCGAGCGUUGUUCGGAAUUAUUGGGCGUAAAGGGCGCGUAGGCGGUGCGGUAAGUCACCUGUGAAAUCUCCUGGCUCAACUGGGAGCUUGCAGGCGAAACUGCCGUGCUGGAGUGUGGGAGAGGUGCGUGGAAUUCCUGGUGUAGCGGUGAAAUGCGUAGAUAUCAGGAGGAACACCUGUGGCGAAAGCGGCUUCCUGGUCUGCGACUGACGCUGUGGCGCGAAAGCUAGGGGAGCAAACGGG
rnacentral:rRNA from 1 species